GAAUUAAUAUUAAGUAAUUUUUAAAUUACGUUCACUGUGAACAAAUCAGGACGCUUAAAGUAAGGAUAUUUAUACUUGAAUGAUUUUGCGCAGUAUGAAAUUUUUAUUUAUAACAAUUUUUUGGUAUAAAUAAGAUCAACGAGAUUCAUCGGGGAUAGAUCUAUUUCAUGGCGAACGGCGAAAUGUUUUGACCCAUGAGAGAGAAACUAAGGCGAAAGCAUCUAUCAAGUGGACUUCUAUCGAUCAAGGGCGAGAGUAGGAGUAUCCAACCGGAUCAGAGACCCGGGUAGUUCCUACCUUAAACUAUGCCGACGAGGGCUUAUUUUUUUUUAUUAGAAGUAGGACCAUUAGAGAAAUCAAUAGUUCAUGGGCUCUGGGGGAACUACGACCGCAAGGCUGAAACUUGAAGGAAUUGACGGAAGGGCACACCAGGGGUGGAGCUUGUGGCUUAAUUUGAAUCAACACGGGGAAACUUACCAGAACCAGAUAUUUUUAAUGACUGAUCAGGAUAAAGUUCUUUCAGGAUAUAAUUUUUGGUGGUGCAU
rnacentral:rRNA from 1 species